AAACAAUGGUUGCUACUCUGUUCCUGGGGAAAGGGUUGGUACUUUGUCAGGAUGUUUAAGGACUUCUUUGCUCUUCAGGAUGAGAGGGGACUUGAGGAUUAGUGGUGACUUUUGGCUGAGGGCAGCCGUGCCUUUGUGUGAGAGAUGAGGACCUUGCCAGCAAUCUCAGCUUUGCAGAGACAGGAAUCUGAAAGACUUGGGGCCUUUCCUUCAAUCUAAAGUAAAACCUCCACCACCAAAAAGACAAACUUCUUUGUACCAGAGGCAUUUGUUCCUCUCCCUGCAUCCACAAGAGAGCAUGAGGAUAGUCAAGAGUUCAAGAAAGCCACACCUUAAGUCAGCCUCAGUGACUUCUACUGGACAACAGAAGCAUCACACAAUUUAUACAUGAGGAACAUUCCAAGUCAUUUACUGUUGCUCCCAUAUUUUACAGUUGAUAUGAGAUGGAAGUUGAAGGAAACAGUCAAAGAUGUCCUCAAGGACCUUGAUUAACUUCAUUGAUGCUGCUUAUCUGUAUUCCUUUCAUUUUUUCUUUCUUUCAAUGUUGUUAGCAUUCUUUCCUAUAUAUCCUUCAGGAGCUGACAUUCCAUGUGACAAAUCAGAACCCGCUGACUGCCCCCUGAGCAGUCCUAGGCAAGGCUAAAAGCUACAAUUGGUCCAUGGAAAAGUGGAAGGAAGGCACAGGAAGUACAAAAGGAAUAGUCUUUAAAAAGGGCAAGAACUUGCUGUGAUGAGCUCUUUCACCAUGGAAGUAGACUUGAAGGAGCUUGGGAACCUCAGACUGCUCUUGAAUUGUCCAUUAGAGCUACCACUUGGGUGAGUGAAAAAGGCUGACUCCUUUCCCAGGCUUGUUCUGGAGACACUAGCCUCCUGAGAGGCCCCUUGUGGCUAGAACCCUUGUUUAAUUUACCUCUGAAACCCCUUUGCUGGGCCUCUUAAGCCCUGCUUGGUUUGGACCAGGCUGGAGUAAAUAUCUAUUCUCUCUGAUAUUUUUUUACUUUCAUUCUUUCUCCUUUUGUAAAUAAAUUGCCAUAAAAAUCAUUUCA
rnacentral:lncRNA from 1 species